GGAUUAAUGAACCCUCCCCUCAUACAAUGAACACCACAUGGACACUCUCAGGAUGGUCACUUUGCUUUCAUUAAGAGUUCCAAGAUGAGGGUCUGAUUGACUGGGGUGUGAAAUGUAACAGCCAAUGGUGUACUUAAGCUAAGACUGUCAGUCCCAAUAUUCAAGAGGAAAAACCCCUACAUAAACAAAUACAUGGGCGCAGACAUUUUGGACACCCAAAGUUGUGCGGAGGAGAAAAUGCUACCUGGUGCGUGAUUGGUCAAUAAGAGAAAAGACUUGAUAUGUAUUUGACAAGUGAAAUAAAGUUGAUAAAAAUGUAAUAUCAAGACUUGGGUUUCUUUGAGAUAUGUAGGAGUUACAGGUAAAAAUUUGAAAGGAGGGGUGCCCUUUGGUUAGAGAUUUUCAUUUGGUGUCAAACGCACCUUGUUGUAAACAAAUGGAAAUUGAAAGUAAAAGUGCCGCGUGACAGUAUAUUUUUUCUGUCAUGUUUUGUUUUCCAAUAUCUCGAACUUUCACGACAAAAAGGCCAUUUGCCCAAAAUUCAUUAUAUGUAUGAGUGACAGGGGCUCAAGUUUGUAUGGAAGUCUAUGGGAAAACAUUUAGUGGUGUUUGUCCUAUAGAAUAGGUAUGUAUUUCAUGGAAAAACAUUGAUUACAGCCAAAAAAUCAAUCAAUUCCUAUUUUUUUGGCAUUGAGAUCAUAUUUUAAUUAGUUUUUACUAUUUCUCAAAAAAAUAGAGGGUUUGGGUAAAUUGAGGCCCACAAUGGGGGCUGCACAUGGUGAAAAAAUGCUAAAAUUUUUGCCCUAGCUCUCAUAUUUUCAAUAAAUGUACAUGUAAAUAAUUUAAAAUAAAUAUUUCUGCU